AGCUGCGCGGCGAGCACAAAGCGAACUAUUCUUUCGCCUUUUACUAAAGAAUACCGUGUGCGCGCCGCAAUUAGCAGCAUACGCUAAUUUUUGGAGGGUGGGUGCCCUGUUUAAGGGCCCC
rfam:Oryza brachyantha chromosome 8, whole genome shotgun sequence.